GGUUGUUUAUUUAGAAAUGAGUUAUAUAAAUUAAAUUUUUUAUCGAGAUAUAGUAAAAAACAAUUGAUUCCUAAUUAAGGGUCAAUCACUUCUUCUUCGUUUGUCUACAAUUGAGUUGAACGGUAAGCGGUGAUCAAAUAUUCACCUCUUCUUUUGUUUGUCUACAAUUACUUUGAAUGGUAAGCUAAUCAAAUCUUUAUUUCUCCUUCGUUUCUACAAUCCUUAUUUCACAUACUUCAUAUAACAUGCCUUUGAUGUAGAUUUUUUUCUUUCCUUUGAUUACUGAAAACGUUGAUCUUAUUUGUUGUGCGACAGGUUUAAUCAGUUCCAAUAGAUAUGAAAAGAAGAGGUUUUCAUUUAUACACCCCUGAUGUAAGACUCUUUGUCAGUUUAGUGUGUCUACAAGUGAUAAUGGUCAAAUGGGUGAAUUUGCUGAUCUCCACAAUCAACUCUGCAAGAAUGUUGAAAAAAACGGAAGCCUUAUUAAGUGUUUGAGAAAGUAAAUGAAAGGGUAGUUUCUUAUCCUGUUGUUCUUCGAAUUCUCUUAAUAACUGAUUUUCUCAUAAGUCAUGUUUAUCGGUAACAAGAAACGUGUGGUUAUAAUAUAUUUUUCCUUUAAUUUGCAAGCAUGUCUUGAUUUGUUUUCCUUGAGAUUUUGAGUUGUUGCAACAUUAAGUUGUAUAGUAGAUCACCAUCAAUCUGAAUCUACUACUCAAAUUGGUUGUCCUCUUUUAACUCUUGAGAAAUGUAGCAUCGUAUUUCAUUUUCUUAAUUUCUUUCAAUCCCUAUAUGCCCUUUUUUUGUUACUCUAGAGAGAUUUAUGUAUUAGAAUGAGUGUUGGUUAACAUGUGGUUAGUUCAUUUUGAUUUUAUCUUGUCUUGAUUUCUUAAAGCUGCAGUUCAGAUUAACUAAUCAACAAUAACUAUCGGGACCAGUGAUUUGAUCUUUCGGAAAAGAGUACCUCUACCUCCACGAGGUAAUGAUAAGAUAUGUUGUUGUUUGAACUCUAUUGAUUUGUAUAAUCUCUUCCUCAUUCUACUACUUAACUAUCACUAAGACUUCAGAGUCUUAAGUAUUGUUCAUGUUUAUUACCUACUUUACUGUUCUACAAGUGAUUUUGUUCCAAAAUUAAGUACACUAAUAUGGAUGAAGCUGUGGAUAAAAAUGGUAUUGGGAAGAGAGGACAACAAAACAGGAAGUGAGAUGAGAGGGACGACAAAAUGGAAAGGGAAAGAUAGACAAAAUAAAAGGUCAUUUUCUAUAAAGUUUUACCAAUUUACUCUCUAACAAUUUCUUUUUGGUUAGAAUUGGCAAAUAUCUGAUAUAAUGGCCACGUAAUUGACACAUUCAAGUUGCUUACUUCACAUGAUUCAUUUACUCCAUCCCUCGGGUACCAUCAUCUUUCAUUUUUUUAAAAGUGUUCAUUAGAAUGUCUUAAGUGCAGUAAAUCAAUUACUGACUUUUUUACUUGGUAAAAGAAAAUACAAAACAAAGUAUAUGAUCUUUAGCAUCAAUUGUUGAUACACUUUUUUCCAAUAACUUGCAGGAACGAUAGAUAAUAAUUUAUGGGCACUGAAAAGCAAAUAUGUUGGUCCAUGUGAAAGUUGUGACACCACUAGAAUUUGACUGAUAGACUCUCAAAUUGUAAUCUUCUUUCACCUUUUCUUUCUUUUGAAGUUGUUUAAUUUGUGUUAACAUUUCAUGUUUUUUUCUUUAUUGGUGGUUUGGUAUGGUGUAUAGUUUGCAGAUGGUUGAAUGAAUAAACUUUGUUUUUUAAUUUUUCAGAUCACCUCUUUUAUUAGAACAAAUACAUAACUUGAAUUAGU
rnacentral:lncRNA from 1 species